GGAGUCGGCCGGGUGGUCGCGGCACCAGUUCGCCGGUGUCGAGGAAAGUCCGGGCUCCACAGGGCAGGACGCUGGGGAAAGUCCCAGUCGGGGCGACCCGGGGAAAGUGCAGCAGAGAGCAGACCGCCGGCGGUGACGCGGCUCUCAGGAGGCGUUCGUGGAAGGCGAAAGCCCGAAACGGGCCGCCUCGGGGAGGCGCAAGCCGAAGGUAAGGGUGAAAGGGUGAGGUAAGAGCUCACCAGCGUGCCGGGUGACCGGUGCGGCUAGGCAAACCCCGUCCGGAGCAAGGUCAAGCAGGGGGUGAGUGGCCCGCUCGAGCGCCCCCGGGUAGACCGCUAGAGGCGUGCGGCAACGUACGUCGUAGAUGGAUGGCCACACAGGGUGUCGUUCACGGACGGCACCUGGACAGAACCCGUGCUUACAGGCCGGCUCUUUAU
rnacentral:RNase_P_RNA from 1 species